rnacentral:rRNA from 1 species
GCGUGGGGAGCGAACGGGAUUAGAUACCCCGGUAGUCCACGCCGUAAACGUUGUGUACUAGGUGUUAGUGCUUUAAGCACUAGUGCCGACGCUAACGCAUUAAGUACACCGCCUGGGGAGUACGCCCGCAAGGGUUAAACUCAAAGAAAUUGACGGGGGCCCGCACAAGCGGUGGAGCAUGUGGUUUAAUUCGAUGAUACGCGAAGAACCUUACCAGGGCUUGAACUGUUUCUGACAGGUGUAGAGAUACACCCUCCUUCGGGCAGAUUCAGAGGUGCUGCAUGGUUGUCGUCAGCUCGUGUCGUGAGAUGUUGGGUUAAGUCCCGCAACGAGCGCAACCCUUACUCCUUGUUGCUAUCAGGUCAUGCUGGGCACUCUAGGGGAACUGCCGGUGAUAAACCGGAGGAAGGUGGGGAUGACGUCAAAUCAGCACGGCCCUUAUGUCCUGGGCUACACACGUGCUACAAUGGCCGGUACAAUGAGUUGCGAUGCCGCGAGGUGGAGCUAAUCUCAAAAAACCGGUCUCAGUUCGGAUUGCAGUCUGCAACUCGACUGCAUGAAGCUGGAAUCGCUAGUAAUCGGAGAUCAGCACGCUCCGGUGAAUACGUUCCCGGGCAUUGUACACACCGCCCGUCACACCAUCCGAGUUGGCAGCACCCGUAAGUGGCUNGAGCUAACCGUUUACGGAGGCAGGUUACUAAGUGAAGCUGUAAGGAGGGUGAAGUCGUAACAAG